UUUUAGAUGAGGCAACUAAUGUCGUACCACAAGCUGAUGGUCACAACAAUCUAGGCACCAAAGAUUGUAAUGAUGAGCUUCAUGAGAACACCAUGGCUGAAAUAGCUGAUGCAAAUACCCAACCAGCUGGCGACACCCUGAUGACUAAUGAAGGAGAGGAUCGAUGGAACCGAGGAGUUAAUAUGGGGCAUGGUCUGCAAAGGAUGAACCGGUCUCGUCGUGGCAAGCUACCAAUUAUCAAACCUGAAGGGUAUAUCAGGCCUGUGGUGCCUGAUAUUGCUUCAAAGUAUGCAACUGAAUGCAACAUAACUGUUAGGAACCAUGUGCCUGUGCUCAAGCACUGGAAGGAAUACAAGAA